AAACAUUAUUUUGUUUCUGAUCCCAUCAGUUUUUAAAGGUUCUUUCCCGAUAUUUUCCUCAUUGAAGUAUAAUAAACAGAAUGAUUCAUACUGUGUUAUCUUUAUAUAUUUCAUGUUUAAUGUUUAUAACCACGGAUAAGAGGUAUAUAAAGCAAGCCAGGGUAUCGCAAGUUGCAUUCAGUCUGAAAAUAUCAUUUACUCGUACAAUUGUUAUUCAUUUAAAAAAUUAAGAUGAAAGGAUUUUUAUUUAUUUUCGCUAUUGUAAUGGCGCUGUUGUCUUUAACUUCGACAGUAAUGUCUGAGGACUUAGAAGCCGGUCCUGUACUUCAAAGGUUGAAACGUGAAAAUAAAUGUGAUUAUUGGGAGUGCGAUCGCCUCUGUCGCAGGCUGGAAUUCCCCGGCGGAGCAUGUGUUGGGAAUAAGUGUGAUUGUGAUAAAUUUUAGUUAACAUCCUACAAUUUCAAUAAUAAAAUCGAUUCACGUUAAUGUUUAUCUUUAUUAUAUACAUAAAGCUCAACACAUUAUAUAUGUAUUAAAAGCUGUCUUAGAUAUAAAUAUGUAAUUUCGUUACGAUUCCAUUGAUUAAAUUUAAUUCAGAAUAGACUCGUUAGCAGUUUUUGCUCUCUCGCACAGAAAAUACCAUCGGGAUAUUUAAAAUGAUUUUUAAACCUUUAAAACAACGCAAAUACUCUCAAAUUAAAAAGAUUUUAGUAUAAUAAUUAAUCAUAAUAAAUAUCUCUUCAUUUGCAAUAUAAACAAAAAGAAAAGUAAAUAUUUAAUUAUCUCGUAUAUUUUAACCUCUCAUAAAACAUUCUAUAUUUGUACGUGAUUUUUUUUAAAUAUUAAGAGUUUGCAAGCUCUUCUGAACGACUAACGUUCAAAGACUUUAUAAUGUUUGUAAUAGUUAGUAAAAAAGCAAAGUUUUCAUAGUAAAAGUUAUGUACAACAGACCGCGCUCUUGAAGUUCGAAGCUUAAUAGAGCGAAAAUAUACUAAGAAAAUGUCACAGUUCUAAAAAUUAUAAAUCUUAUUAAAAGUAAAAUCAGAGUGAAAUGUGUUUGAUUACUAUAUUGGUAAAUUGUCAAAUAUAUUUACACAUAUAUAUAUAUAUAUAUACCUAUAUACUUUAUUAAAUCUUGAAACAUAUUAAUGGUACAUAUUAGGUACAUAUUAAUGGUAUUUUCUUUAUACAUACACACAGCAAACUAUAUACAUACAUUUACUUAUUGUAUCCUAGCCUCAAGAAAUCAUAAAUAUAAUUUUAACACACAGUUUCAUAAAAUAACACACCGAUUUAUGUAAAUGUUAUUAAAAAUGUCGAAAAGGACAAAAAAAAAUAUGUUCACCUUGACUGAAUUCUCAACAAAAUAACCGACGAGAUGAGGUGGAUGGAGUCUUUUUUACCCUUUUAGAAGGCACUUGCACCACCUGUGUUGCUUAAAUUAUGUAAAUAUUUUUAAUUCAGAGUCGCGGGCUUUCAUGUUUUAGCAAAACGAAAUUUCUGGGUCAAAUUGAAAGGGAGCCCUGAUAUAAGUAAAUAAUUCAGAUGUUUUGUUAUGAUGGCAUUCGAGGUGUAAACAUAGACAAUGUAUUGUUUGAAUCUUUAAACAGGGUUUAAUUAUUUACUGUUUGUAUUUAAAAAGUUUAUUUUGAAUACAUAAUUGUAACUUUCUGCUUAUUUCAUAAUAGUAUUUUAAAAAUAAAGAUUAAAAUAUCGAUUCAUAAUUUUAUAUAACCCUUAUAUAGAUAGAGAAAGGGGAUUUUGCCCAACA
rnacentral:misc_RNA from 1 species